AACGUACGCUGGCGGCACGCCUAACACAUGCAUGUCGAACGAAGUAGCAAUACUUAGUGGCAGACGGGUGAGCAACAUGUGGGUAUCUACCCUUUGGCCUGGAAUAACACGAGGAAACUUGUGCUAAUACCGGAUAAGUCUUUACGGAGAAAGCUUUAUGCACCAUUGGAUGAGCCCGCACUUGAUUAGUUUGUUGGUAGGGUAAUGGCCUACCAAGACUAUGAUCAAUAGCUGAUUUGAGAGGAUGAUCAGCCACAUUGGGACUGAGACACGGCCCAAACUCCUACGGGAGGCAGCAGUGGGGAAUCUUGCACAAUGGAGGAAACUCUGAUGCAGCGAUGCCGCGUGAGUGAAGAAGGCCUUUGGGUUGUAAAGCUCUUUCGUCGGGGAAGAAAAUGACUGUACCCGAAUAAGAAGGUCCGGCUAACUUCGUGCCAGCAGCCGCGGUAAUACGAAGGGACCUAGCGUAGUUCGGAAUUACUGGGCUUAAAGAGUUCGUAGGUGGUUGAAAAAGCUGGUGGUGAAAUCCCAGAGCUUAACUCUGGAACUGCCAUCAAAACUUUUCAGCUAGAGUAUGAUAGAGGAAAGCAGAAUUUCUAGUGUAGAGGUGAAAUUCGUAGAUAUUAGAAAGAAUACCAAUUGCGAAGGCAGCUUUCUGGAUCAUUACUGACACUGAGGAACGAAAGCAUGGGUAGCGAAGAGGAUUAGAUACCCUCGUAGUCCAUGCCGUAAACGAUGUGUGUUAGACGUUGGAAAUUUAUUUUCAGUGUCGCAGGGAAACCGAUAAACACACCGCCUGGGGAGUACGACCGCAAGGUUAAAACUCAAAUGAAUUGACGGGGACCCGCACAAGUAGUGGAGCAUGUGGUUUAAUUCGAAGAUACGCGCAGAACCUUACCAACACUUGACAUGUUCGUCGCGACUCUAAGAGAUUAGAGUUUUCGGUUCGGCCGGACGAAACACAGGUGCUGCAUGGCUGUCGUCAGCUCGUGUC
rnacentral:rRNA from 1 species